rnacentral:rRNA from 1 species
AACGAACGCUGGCGGCAUGCCUAACACAUGCAAGUCGAACGAUUGCCUUCGGGUGUUAGUGGCGCCUGGGUGCGCAACGCGUGGGAAUCCGCCCUUAGGAUCGGCAUAACAGCUUGAAAUGGCUGCUAAUACCGGGUGAUAAUGCGAGAUCAAAGCUGCUUCGGCUGGGGAUGGGGUCGCGUUGGAUUAGGGAGUUGGUUGGGUACAGGCCUACCAAGCCGAGGAUCCAUAGCUGGUCUGACCGGAUGAUCAGCCACACUGGGGCUGAGACACGGACCAGACUGCUACGGGAGGGAGGAGUGGGGAAUAUUGGGCAAGGGACGCAAGCCUGGUCCAGCAAUGCCGCGUGAGUGAUGAAGGCCGUAGGAUUGUAAAGCUCUUUUACCCGGGAAGUUAAUGACGGUACCGGGAAAAGAAGCCCCGGCUAACUCCGUG